GGUCAAGCGAAUACAAGUUUGCGGGGGAUGCCUUGGAGCUAUCAGGCGACGAAGGCCGUGGUAAGCUGCGAAAAUCCACGGGGAGGAGCAAACAUCCUUAGAUCCGUGGGUGGCCGAAUGGGGUAACCCGAACGUCUCAAAAUGGCGUUCAUCCGUGCGUGAAUACAUAGCGCACGGAAGCGAUACCGGGGGAACUGAACCAUCUAAGUACCCCGAGGAAAAGACAUCAACCGAGAUUUCCUGAGUAGUGGCGAACGAAACGGAAACAGCCCAAACCCGGUGUAUGCAAGGCUUACACCGUUGUACGCCGGGGGUUGUAGGGCCUUGUUUUGGUCGGGUGUAGGACCGGCCGCGGAGUUACCAAUCAGUCGUAUAGGAGAAUGCUACUGGGAAGGGCAACCAGAGAGGGUGAAAGUCCCGUAUCCGAAAUGCGAUUGACUCCGUGACAGGGUGCCUGAGUACGGCGGGACACGUGGAAUCUUGCUGGAAUCUGGGAGGACCACCUUCCAAGGCUAAACACUAGAUAGCUACCGAUAGUGGACAAGUACCGUGAGGGAAAGGUGAAAAGUACCCCGAGAGGGGAGUGAAAUAGAACCUGAAACCGCAAACUUACAAGCGGUCAAAGGGAGAUCUUGUAUCUCCUGAUGGCGUGCCUUUUGUAGAAUGAACCGGCGAGUUACGCUGCGCAGCGAGGUUAAGGUACUGGAGUGCCGGAGCCGUAGGGAAACCGAGUCUGAACAGGGCGAUUCAGUUGCGUGGAGUAGACCCGAAGCCGAGCGAUCUAGCCAUGGCCAGGCUGAAGCGUUGGUAACACACCGUGGAGGGCCGAACGGUAGUCUGUUAAAAAAGGCACCGAUGAGUUGUGGCUAGGAGUGAAAGGCUAAACAAGCUCGGAGAUAGCUGGUACUCCCCGAAAUAGCUUUAGGGCUAGCCUCACCUUAGUGUGACGGAGGUAGAGCACUGAAUGGACUAGGGCCCUUCACCGGGUACCAAACCCAAUCAAACUCCGAAUGCCGUUAUAUGAUGGGUGGGAGUCAGACUACGGGCGAUAAGGUCCGUGGUCGAGAGGGAAACAGCCCAGACCGUCGACUAAGGUCCCCAAGUCAGGCUAAGUGGAAAAGGAAGUGUAAUUGCAGAGACAGCCAGGAGGUUGGCUUAGAAGCAGCCAUUCCUUGAAAGAGUGCGUAACAGCUCACUGGUCGAGUGGUCCUGCGCGGAAAAUGUAACGGGGCUCAAGCACACCGCCGAAGCUGCGGGAUUCCAUCAAUAACUCUGACGUGUACGCGUCCAGAGGAUGGGAUCGGUAGGGGAGCGUCGAGCAGCCAGAGAAGCAGCGGCGUAAGCCAGCUGUGGAGGCUGCUCAAGUGAGAAUGCCGGUAUGAGUAGCGAGAGUGGAGUGAGAAUCUCCACCGCCGAAAGUCCAAGGGUUCCUGGGGAAGGCUCGUCCGCCCAGGGUUAGUCGGGACCUAAGGCGAGGCCGAUAGGCGUAGUCGAUGGACAACUGGUUGAUAUUCCAGUACCACCAUGCAAGCGUCCAGACUGAGCGCAGCUUGCUAAGGAGAGCCCUUCGGGGCCCUCCGACCCAGCGGCGGGAGGUCAGCAAUGGGAUGACGCGGAAGGGUAAGUGGACCCGGGCGUUGGUUGCCCCGGGGUAAGUGUGUAGGGCGAGGUCCAGGCAAAUCCGGACCUCAUGAAGCCAGAGGCACGAUGCCGAGCCGCUUUAGGCGAAGCCACUGAACGCCCAUGCCGCCGAGAAAACUCUCUAGCGAGCUUGUAUGGUGCCCGUACCCCAAACCGACACAGGUGGACAGGUAGAGAAUACCAAGGCGAGCGAGAUAACUCUGGUUAAGGAACUAGGCAAAAUGGUUCCGUAACUUCGGGAGAAGGAUCGCCCCGGUAAAGUGAAGGAUGUUACAUCCCGAGCUUGAGGGGGCUGCAGUGACCAGGCCCGAGCGACUGUUUACUAAAAACACAGCAGCGUGCUAAGUCGCAAGACGCUGUAUACGCUGUGACGCCUGCCCGGUGCCGGAAGGUUAAGAGGGGGGGUUAGCCUAGGCGAAGCUCUGAAUCUAAGCCCCGGUAAACGGCGGCCGUAACUAUAACGGUCCUAAGGUAGCGAAAUUCCUUGUCGGGUAAGUUCCGACCUGCACGAAUGGUGUAACGAUCUGGGCGCUGUCUCAACGCGGGACUCGGUGAAAUUGAAGUAUCGGUGAAGAUGCCGAUUAUCCAUGGCUAGACGGAAAGACCCCGUGAACCUUUACUGUAGCCUGGCAUAGGCACUUGGCCUGUGAUGUGUAGGAUAGGUGGGAGGCUGCGAACUCUGGUCGUUAGGCUGGAGGGAGCCGUUGGUGAAAUACCACCCUUUACAGGUUAGGUUUCUAACGCUCGCCGUGAAGCCGGCGAGUGGACAGUGUCAGGUGGGCGGUUUGACUGGGGCGGUCGCCUCCUAAAGAGUAACGGAGGCGCGCAAAGGUCACCUCGCGCUGGUUGGAAAUCAGCGUACGAGUGCAAAGGCAAAAGGUGGCUUGACUGCGAGACCUACAAGUCGAGCAGGUGCGAAAGCAGGUCUUAGUGAUCUGGUGGUUGCGAGUGGAAGCGCCAUCACUAAACGGACAAAAGGUACUCCGGGGAUAACAGGCUAAUAGUGCCCAAGCGUCCAUAGCGACGGCACUGUUUGGCACCUCGAUGUCGGCUCAUCGCAUCCUGGGGCUGGAGCAGGUCCCAAGGGUUUGGCUGUUCGCCAAUUAAAGCGGUACGUGAGCUGGGUUCAGAACGUCGUGAGACAGUUCGGUCCCUAUCUGCCAUGGGCGUUGGUUGCUUGAGAGGAGCUGCUUCUAGUACGAGAGGACCGAAGUGGACGAACCGCUGGUGUACCAGUUAUGCCGCCAGGUGUAACCGCUGGGUAGCCAUGUUCGGAAGGGAUAACCGCUGAAAGCAUCUAAGUGGGAAGCCCCCCUCAAGAUUAGGCAACCCUGGCCCGUCAAGGGCCCUGAAGGUACCAGAGAGACUAUCUGGUUGAUAGGCUGGAGGUGGAAGCGCAGUAAUGCGUUGAGCCGACCAGUACUAAUUUACCGUGAGGCUUGACCAU
rnacentral:rRNA from 1 species